rnacentral:rRNA from 1 species
CAAUAGCGUAUAUUUAAGUUGUUGCAGUUAAAAAGCUCGUAGUUGGAUUUCGGAUGGGACUUGCCGGUCCGUCGUUUCGAUGUGCACUGGCCAGUCCUAUCUUGUUGUCGGGGACUAGCUCCUGGGCUUCACUGUCCGGGACUAGGUGCUGACGAGGUUACUUUGAGUAAAUUAGAGUGUUCAAAGCAAGCCUACGCUCUGAAUACAUUAGCAUGGAAUAACACGAUAGGACUCUGGCUUAUCUUGUUGGUCUGUGAGACCAGAGUAAUGAUUAAGAGGGACAGUCGGGGGCAUUCGUAUUUCAUUGUCAGAGGUGAAAUUCUUGGAUUUAUGAAAGACGAACUUCUGCGAAAGCAUUUGUCAAGGAUGUUUUCAUUAA